rfam:Archaeoglobus sulfaticallidus PM70-1, complete genome.
CGGUGGGAUAGGCUGGGGGGUUCGGCGUCCCCUGUGACCCGAAACCGUCGAUAUGCGGGAGCCGAAGCCGAGGGAAGGUUCGUGGAGCGGAAAGCUGGACUCUCCUCCCCCUUGCAGAGUCUCCGUCCCGUCGGGCCGGCGGUUACUGCUGGGCUUUCUGGAGGGAAUGUCCGCAGUAUUCGCCGGAGGAACCGACUCAGGCCCGGAAGGGAGCAGGUCAACUCCGGACGAUCGGCGCUGGCGGGGUAGCGGAGAGGAGAGGGUGAGGAGAGAGGCUUUCCGCAAAGCGAAUCGACCCGAGGCGUUCCCACCU